rnacentral:rRNA from 1 species
CCUACGGGUGGCUGCAGUCGAGAAUCAUUCACAAUGGGGGAAACCCUGAUGGUGCGACGCCGCGUGGGGGAAUGAAGGUCUUCGGAUUGUAAACCCCUGUCAUGUGGGAGCAAAUUAAAAAGAUAGUACCACAAGAGGAAGAGACGGCUAACUCUGUGCCAGCAGCCGCGGUAAUACAGAGGUCUCAAGCGUUGUUCGGAAUCACUGUUCGUAAGGCGUUCGUAGGCUGUUUCGUAAGUCGUGUGUGAAAGGCGCGGGCUCAACCCGCGGACGGCACAUGAUACUGCGAGACUAGAGUAAUGGAGGGGGAACCGGAAUUCUCGGUGUAGCAGUGAAAUGCGUAGAUAUCGAGAGGAACACUCGUGGCGAAGGCGGGUUCCUGGACAUUAACUGACGCUGAGGCACGAAGGCCAGGGGAGCGAAAGGGAUUAGAUACCCUUGUAGUC